rnacentral:rRNA from 1 species
AACUAUGGCCAUGCCACCCUGAACAAGCCUGAUGUCUGAUCUCGAAAGCUAAGCAGGGUCAGGCUUGGUUAAUACUUGGAUAGGAGACCACCUAGGAAGACCAGGUGCUGUAGGUG